AGCGUUGCAGCGGCGGGUGAGCGCUAGUCUCUCAUAGAUAGUUUAGUGGUAAUAGAUCUCUCUUAAGUGAGCGGCCGUCUGAAUGCAGACAAUAAUCAGCAGAUGGGCCACCUGAAGUUUUUUUUCAAGUAUCAGACCCCGCAGUCGACACCGACGGAAACCUGCGAAUGAUAUACUAGAAUCCAUUGGCUUAGCAAUUGCUGAGACCUUGGAGGAAAGUUGGGAGGGGAUAGUUCGGAAAGAAGUAUGGGGAAGGACAAGGAACUAUCUUAGGAUGGGAGGAAGGGAGAAGGCCAGGAAAUGUUCACGAGCCCUGAUGUUAGGAAGCUACAUUACUCCGGAGUGCUAUAGGCAAAUUUUUAUUCCGGGAGAAUAAAAAGCAUGGGUUUUAUCCAGGAAUAACUACAUCAUGCGAGCGAAACUACGAGCAAAAGGUAGUGUUUUUAUAAAAUACAAACAAAUUGGGCCAAAAAAGCCCUCCUUCCAUAUCUUUCAUUAGCUGAACUAGGGUACAAUACUUACGCAGAGAAUGCUUACAUUAGCAAACCUAGGUAUAAAAAUUUGUUUAUUUUGUAUCAUGUUACAUAUUUUGCUGACAAUUUUUUUUUCAAUGAGUAGUUCAUCAGCAUCAUAUGUAGUUUUGUACAAAGUAGAUUUUAUUACCGAGCUAGCUUUAUUUAUUUUUAUAUUUACAAGAAUAUCGAUUGAUGUUAUACAAGUGAAAGAUGUUUUCGCGAUAAAUUUGUUUCCUCACGAUGUUUUUCUGUAUCGUAACAGUGAACGAUAAUCGAUAAGCAAUGUAUACCAAACUUUUAAAAGUCAGUUUUUUUUUAAAGCAGGCUAAACCACGGGGAAAUCUGCUAACGGGAUACUAGAAUCUUCCGGCCUAGCGACCGCAGAGGCCCGGAGGAGAGCGGAGAAGGAGGGGAAAUGAACAUUUCCCCUCCUUCUCUUCGUCUUCUCUUCUCUUCGCGAGCCCUCAUAGGCCUAAAUGUUAAUUUGCAACCAUGAUAUACAUAUCUGACUAUAUGCCUAGAGCUGCGACAAAUGUUCCUGUGUGUGGGUGUGCAUUCGGAGAA